UGGGGAAUAUUGGACAAUGGGCGAAAGCCUGAUCCAGCCAUGCCGCGUGAGUGACGAAGGCCUUAGGGUUGUAAAACUCUUUCGUCGGGGACGAUAAUGACGGUACCCGAAGAAGAAGCUCCAGCUAACUUCGUGCCAGCAGCCGCGGUAAUACGAAGGGAGCUAGCGUUGUUCGGAAUCACUGGGUGUAAAGCGCACGUAGGCGGAUAGUUAAGUCAGGGGUGAAAUCCUGGGGCUCAACCCCAGAACUGCCUUUGAUACUGGCUGUCUCGAGGUCGAGAGAGGUUGGUGGAAUUCCUAGUGUAGAGGUGAAAUUCGUAGAUAUUAGGAAGAACACCAGUGGCGAAGGCGGCCAACUGGCUCGAUACUGACGCUGAGGUGCGAAAGCGUGGGGAGCAAACAGGAUUAGAUACCCUAGUAGUCCCUGAGCGGGCUGGCAAGGCGCAU
rnacentral:rRNA from 1 species